rnacentral:rRNA from 1 species
GAUCAUGGCUCAGAUUGACGCUGGCGGCAUGCCUUACACAUGCAAGUCGAACGGCAGCACGGGAGCAAUCCGUGUGGCGAGUGGCGAACGGGUGAGUAAUAUAUCGGAACGUGCCCAGUCGUGGGGAUAACGUAGCGAAAGCUACGCUAAUACCGCAUACGAUCUAUGGAUGAAAGCGGGGGAUCGCAAGACCUCGCGCGAUUGGAGCGGCCGAUAUCAGAUUAGGUAGUUGGUGAGGUAAAGGCUCACCAAGCCGACGAUCUGUAGCUGGGUCUGAGAGGAUGAUCAGCCACACUGGGACUGAGACACGGCCCAGACUCCUACGGGAGGCAGCAGUGGGGGAAUAUUGGACAAUGGGCGAAAGCCUGAUCCAGCAAUGCCGCGUGAGUGAUGAAGGCCUUCGGGUUGUAAAGCUCUUUUACUCGGGACGAUAAUGACGGUUCCGAGAGAAUAAGCCCCGGCUAACUACGUG